rnacentral:rRNA from 1 species
UGGGGAAUAUUGGACAAUGGGCGAAAGCCUGAUCCAGCCAUGCCGCGUGUGUGAAGAAGGUCUUCGGAUUGUAAAGCACUUUAAGUUGGGAGGAAGGGCAGUAAGCGAAUACCUUGCUGUUUUGACGUUACCGACAGAAUAAGCACCGGCUAACUCUGUGCCAGCAGCCGCGGUAAUACAGAGGGUGCAAGCGUUAAUCGGAAUUACUGGGCGUAAAGCGCGCGUAGUUGGUUCGUUAAGUUGAAUGUGAAAGCCCCGGGCUCACACUGGGAACUGCAUCCAAAACUGGCGAGCUAGAGUAGGGCGGAGGGUGGUGGAAUUUCCUGUGUAGCGGUGAAAUGCGUAGAUAUAGGAAGGAAAACCAGUGGCGAAGGCGACCACCUGGGCUCAUACUGACACUGAGGUGCGAAAGCGUGGGGAGCAAACAGG